GGCAGCCGCCGCGGUAAUACCGGCGGCUCGAGUGGUGGCCACUUUAUUGGGCUUAAAGCGUUCGUAGCUGGGUUGUUAAGUCUCUUGGGAAAUCCGGCGGCUCAACCGUCGGGCGUCUAAGAGAUACUGGCGAUCUGGAACCGGGAGAGGUGAGGGGUACUUCGGGGGUAGGAGUGAAAUCCUGUAAUCCUCGAGGGACCACCUGUGGCGAAGGCGCCUCACCAGAACGGCUUCGACAGUGAGGGACGAAAGCUGGGGGAGCAAACCGGAUUAGAUACCCGGGUAGUCCCAGCCGUAAACGAUGUGCGUUAGGUGUAUCGAUGACCACGAGUCAUCGAGGUGCCGAAGGGAAACCGUGAAACGUACCGCCUGGGAAGUACGGUCGCAAGGCUGAAACUUAAAGGAAUUGGCGGGGGAGCACCACAACAGGUGGAGCCUGCGGUUUAAUUGGACUCAACGCCGGAAAUCUCACCGGAUAAGACAGCGGAAUGAUUGCCGGGCUGAAGACUCUGCAUGACUAGCUGAGUAGAGGUGCAUGG
rnacentral:rRNA from 1 species